rnacentral:rRNA from 1 species
CUAACGAACGAGACCUUAACCUGCUAAAUAGACAGGCCGGCUUUGGCUGGUCGCCGUCUUCUUAGAGGGACUGUCAGCGUCUAGCUGACGGAAGUUUGAGGCAAUAACAGGUCUGUGAUGCCCUUAGAUGUUCUGGGCCGCACGCGCGCUACACUGACAGAGCCAGCGAGUUUUCACCUUGUCUGUAAGGCCUGGGUAAUCUUGUGAAACUCUGUCGUGCUGGGGAUAGAGCAUUGCAAUC